rnacentral:rRNA from 1 species
UACGUAGGGGGCAAGCGUUGUCCGGAAUCAUUGGGCGUAAAGAGCGUGUAGGCGGUUCGGUAAGUCGGCUGUGAAAGUCCAGGGCUCAACCCUGGGAUGCCGGUCGAUACUGCCGGACUAGAGUUCGGAAGAGGCGAGUGGAAUUCCCGGUGUAGCGGUGAAAUGCGCAGAUAUCAGGAGGAACACCGGUGGCGAAGGCGGGUCUGGGCCAUAACUGACGCUGAGGAGCGAAAGCGUGGGGAGCGAACAGG